GAUGAACGCUGGCGGCGUGCCUAAUACAUGCAAGUCGAGCGAACAGAUGAGGAGCUUGCUCCUCUGACGUUAGCGGCGGACGGGUGAGUAACACGUGGAUAACCUACCUAUAAGACUGGGAUAACUUCGGGAAACCGGAGCUAAUACCGGAUAAUAUAUUGAACCGCAUGGUUCAAUAGUGAAAGACGGUUUUGCUGUCACUUAUAGAUGGAUCCGCGCCGCAUUAGCUAGUUGGUAAGGUAACGGCUUACCAAGGCAACGAUGCGUAGCCGACCUGAGAGGGUGAUCGACCACACUGGAACUGAGACACGGUCCAGACUCCUACGGGAGGCAGCAGUAGGGAAUCUUCCGCACUGGGCGAAAGCCUGACGGAGCAACGCCGCGUGAGUGAUGAAGGUCUUCGGAUCGUAAAACUCUGUUAUUAGGGAAGAACAAAUGUGUAAGUAACUAUGCACGUCUUGACGGUACCUAAUCAGAAAGCCACGGCUAACUACGUG
rnacentral:rRNA from 1 species